UAUAUACGCCGACUAGAGAAU
rnacentral:piRNA from 1 species